rnacentral:rRNA from 1 species
AGCAGUCGCCGCGGGAAUACAGAGGGUGCAAGCGUUAAUCGGAAUUACUGGGCGUAAAGCGCGCGUAGGUGGUUUGUUAAGUUGGAUGUGAAAUCCCCGGGCUCAACCUGGGAACUGCAUCCAAAACUGGCAAGCUAGAGUAUGGUAGAGGGUGGUGGAAUUUCCUGUGUAGCGGUGAAAUGCGUAGAUAUAGGAAGGAACACCAGUGGCGAAGGCGACCACCUGGACUGAUACUGACACUGAGGUGCGAAAGCGUGGGGAGCAAACAGGAUUAGAUACCCGUGUAGUCCCUGUCUCUUAUAC